CCUACGGGCGGCAGCAGUGGGGAAUAUUGGACAAUGGGCGAAAGCCUGAUCCAGCCAUGCCGCGUGUGUGAAGAAGGCCUUCGGGUUGUAAAGCACUUUCAGUGGGGAAGAAAGCCUUGGGGCUAAUACCCUCGAGGAAGGACAUCACCCACAGAAGAAGCACCGGCUAACUCCGUGCCAGCAGCCGCGGUAAUACGGAGGGUGCGAGCGUUAAUCGGAAUUACUGGGCGUAAAGCGCGCGUAGGCGGUCUGAUAAGCCGGUUGUGAAAGCCCCGGGCUCAACCUGGGAACGGCAUCCGGAACUGUCAGGCUAGAGUGCAGGAGAGGAAGGUAAAAUUCCCGGUGUAGCGGUGAAAUGCGUAGAGAUCGGGAGGAAUACCAGUGGCGAAGGCGGCCUUCUGGACUGACACUGACGCUGAGGUGCGAAAGCGUGGGUAGCAAACAGGAUUAGAUACCCCUGUAGU
rnacentral:rRNA from 1 species